rnacentral:tRNA from 1 species
AAGUAAUGAAGUAACAAUUACAUUUAGUUUCGACCUAAAAUUAGAGAUUUUCUCCUUACUUA